CUUGAACUUUAUAAGAGGUCCAGCCUGCCCAGUGACUCUGUUCAACGGCCGCGGUAUCCUAACCGUGCGAAGGUAGCGUAAUCACUUGUUCUUUAAAUGUGGACUAGUAUGAAUGGCACUACGAGGGUUAUACUGUCUCCUUUUUCUAAUCAGUGAAACUAAUUUUCCCGUGAAGAAGCGGGAAUAUUACUAUAAGACGAGAAGACCCUAUGGAGCUUUAAACAACCCAGCAAUUACUUCUAAAAUUAUAAAUUUCAGAAUAUUCAUUUUUCUAAGUAAUAUGUCUGCAAGUUUUUGGUUGGGGUGACCAUGGAGAAUAACAUAACCUCCAUAUUGAAUGAAUUCCCUUCUAAGCUAAAAAUUACCUAUUGAAGCAUCAAUAUACUGACAUCUAUUGACCCAAUAUAUUUGAUCAACGAACCAAGUUACCCUAGGGAUAACAGCGCAAUCCACUUCAAGAGCCCCUAUCGACAAGUGGGUUUACGACCUCGAUGUUGGAUCAGGGUAUCCCAGUGGCGCAGCC
rnacentral:rRNA from 1 species